UNUGCUGUGAAAGGCCGGGGCUUAACUCCGGUUUUGCAGUGGGUACGGGCUAACUAGAGUGCAGUAGGGGAGACUGGAAUUCCUGGUGUAGCGGUGGAANGCACAGAUAUCAGGAGGAACACCGAUGGCGAAGGCAGGUCUCUGGGCUGUAACUGACGCUGAGAAGCGAAAGCAUGGGGAGCGAACAGGAUUAGAUACCCUGGUAGUCCAUGCCGUAAACGUUGGGCACUAGGUGUGGGGGACAUUCCACGUUUUCCGCGCCGUAGCUAACGCAUUAAGUGCCCCGCCUGGGGAGUACGGCCGCAAGGCUAAAACUCAAAGGAAUUGACGGGGGCCCGCACAAGCGGCGGAGCAUGCGGAUUAAUUCGAUGCAACGCGAAGAACCUUACCAAGGCUUGACAUGCAUUAGAUCGCGUCAGAGAUGGCGUUUCCCUUCGGGGCUGGUGUACAGGUGGUGCAUGGUUGUCGUCAGCUCGUGUCGUGAGAUGUUGGGUUAAGUCCCGCAACGAGCGCAACCCUCGUUCUAUGUUGCCAGCGGUUCGGCCGGGGACUCAUAGGAGACUGCCGGGGUCAACUCGGAGGAAGGUGGGGAUGACGUCAAAUCAUCAUGCCCCUUAUGUCUUGGGCUUCACGCAUGCUACAAUGGCCGGUACAGAGGGUUGCGAUACUGUGAGGUGGAGCUAAUCCCUUAAAGCCGGUCUCAGUUCGGAUUGGGGUCUGCAACUCGACCCCAUGAAGUCGGAGUCGCUAGUAAUCGCAGAUCAGCAACGCUGCGGUGAAUACGUUCCCGGGCCUUGUACACACCGCCCGUCAAGUCACGAAAGUUGGUAACACCCGAAGCCGGUGGCCUAACCCUUGUGGGGGGAGCCGUCGAAGGU
rnacentral:rRNA from 1 species